GCCUUCGUCGUGUAGUGGUCAGCACGUUUGACGCGUAACCGAGAGGUCCGUGGUUCGAUUCCCAGCGAGGGCA
rnacentral:tRNA from 1 species